GGGGGAAUCUUGGACAAUGGGGGGAACCCUGAUCCAGCAACGCCGCGUGAGCGAAGAAGGCCUUCGGGUCGUAAAGCUCUUUUCUGAGGGAAGAGGCAGGACGGUACCUCAGGAAUAAGUCUCGGCUAACUACGUGCCAGCAGCCGCGGUAAAACGUAGGAGGCGAGCGUUAUCCGGAUUUACUGGGCGUAAAGGGCAAGUAGGCGGUGGCUCAAGUUGGGCGUGACAUCUCCCGGCUCAACUGGGAGGGGUCGUUCAAAACUGGGUCACUAGAGGGCAGGAGAGGGAAGCGGAAUUCCUAGUGUAGCGGUGGAAUGCUCAGAUAUUAGGAAGAACACCAGUGGCGAAGGCGGCUUCCUGGCCUGCACCUGACGCUGAGAGGCGAAAGCUAGGGGAGCGAACGGG
rnacentral:rRNA from 1 species